rnacentral:rRNA from 1 species
UACGGAGGGGGCGAGCGUUAUUCGGAAUUAUUGGGCGUAAAGGGCGCGUAGGCGGCCCGGUAAGUCAAAGGUGAAAUCCCUCGGCUCAACUGAGGAACUGCCUUUGAAACUGUCGGGCUUGAGGCCGGGAGGGGGUAGCGGAAUUCCCAGUGUAGCGGGUGAAAUGCGCAGAUAUCGGGAGGAACACCAAUGGCGAAGGCAGCUUGCUGGGACGGUACUGACGCUGAGGAGCGAAAGCGUGGGGAGCGAACAGG